rnacentral:rRNA from 1 species
AUUGAACGCUGGCGGCAGGCCUAACACAUGCAAGUCGAACGAGUGGCGGACGGGUGAGUAAUGUCUGGGAAACUGCCUGAUGGAGGGGGCUAACUACUGGAAACGGUAGCUAAUACCGCAUACCAUCAGCUGUGCCCAGAUGGGAUUAGCUUGUUGGUGGGGUAACGGCUCACCAAGGCGACGAGCCCUAGCUGGUCUGAGAGGAUGACCGGCCAGCCAGGACCUGAGACACGGGCCAGACUCGUACGGGAGGCGGCAGUGGGGAAUAUGGCACAAUGGGCGGAAGCCUGAUGCAGCCAUGCCGGUUGUAUGAAGAAGGCCUGGGGGUUGUAAAGUACGUUCAGCGGGGAGGCGUUACCCGCAGAAGAAGCACCGGCUAACUCCGUGCCAGCAGCCGCGGUAAUAC